GUUUCUUAAGUCAGAGGUGAAAGGCUACGGCUCAACCGUAGUAAGCCUUUGAAACUGGGAAACUUGAGUGCAGGAGAGGAGAGUGGAAUUCCUAGUGUAGCGGUGAAAUGCGUAGAUAUUAGGAGGAACACCAGUUGCGAAGGCGGCUCUCUGGACUGUAACUGACACUGAGGCACGAAAGCGUGGGGAGCAAACAGGAUUAGAUACCCUGGUAGUCCACGCCGUAAACGAUGAGUACUAGCUGUCGGAGGUUACCCCCUUCGGUGGCGCAGCUUACGCAUUAAGUACUCCGCCUGGGAAGUACGCUCGCAAGAGUGAAACUCAAAGGAAUAGACGGGGACCCGCACAAGUAGCGGAGCAUGUGGUUUAAUUCGAAGCAACGCGAAGAACCUUACCUAAGCUUGACAUCCUUUUGACCGAUGCCUAAUCGCAUCUUUCCCUUCGGGGACAGAAGUGACAGGUGGUGCAUGGUUGUCGUCAGCUCGUGUCGUGAGAUGUUGGGUUAAGUCCCGCAACGAGCGCAACCCUUGCCUUUAGUUGCCAGCAUUAAGUUGGGCACUCUAGAGGGACUGCCAGGGAUAACCUGGAGGAAGGUGGGGAUGACGUCAAAUCAUCAUGCCCCUUAUGCUUAGGGCUACACACGUGCUACAAUGGGUGGUACAGAGGGCAGCCAAGUCGUGAGGCGGAGCUAAUCCCUUAAAGCCAUUCUCAGUUCGGAUUGUAGGCUGAAACUCGCCUACAUGAAGCUGGAGUUACUAGUAAUCGCAGAUCAGAAUGCUGCGGUG
rnacentral:rRNA from 1 species